rnacentral:rRNA from 1 species
UACGUAGGGGCCUAGCGUUGUCCGGAUUUAUUGGGCGUAAAGAGCUCGUAGGCGGUUCGGUAAGUCAGGUGUGAAAUCUCCACGCUCAACGUGGAGGCGCCACCUGAAACUGCCGUGACUCGAGUCCGGUAGGGGAGUGUGGAAUUCCCGGUGUAGCGGUGAAAUGCGCAGAUAUCGGGAGGAACACCGGUGGCGAAGGCGGGUCUCUGGGCAUCUCCUGACGCUGAGGCGCGAAAGCGUGGGGAGCAAACGGG